rnacentral:lncRNA from 1 species
AGUCUACUUUCUUGGCUACACGCUCAUAUGGCUGGAGGAUGACUAAUUGACUGUCAUUACUUGGAUCAGGACACAGCUCAACAACCACCUCAUAUUCUGCCUCUAUUAGCUGAUAUUAUCCAUUGUUGCUCAUUAUUGGAUACCUUCAGAAAUUUUCAUGUUUUACGGGAAGUAAACCAACCACCAGAUCAUCUCGCGAGCCUUCAUCGUCAUCACGAGUUUGCCUUAAAUUCCAUGCUAUCGCAGAAUGUUCGUCAGGCUGUAUUUGCUGAUUUUACUGGAACGAUUUUUCUCAGGUG